rnacentral:rRNA from 1 species
CGUGUAGGCGGUUGGGUAGGUCCGUUGUGAAAACUCGAGGCUCAACCUCGAGACGCCGAUGGAAACCCCCCAGCUAGAGUCCGGAAGAGGAGAGUGGAAUUCCUGGUGUAGCGGUGAAAUGCGCAGAUAUCAGGAAGAACACCCGUGGCUAAGGCGGCUCUCUAGUACGGUACUGACGCUGAGACGCGAAAGCGUGGGGAGCGAACA